GACGAACGCUGGCGGCGUGCUUAACACAUGCAAGUCGAACGGAAAGGCCCUGCUUGCAGGGUACUCGAGUGGCGAACGGGUGAGUAACACGUGGGUGAUCUGCCCUGCACUUCGGGAUAAGCCCGGGAAACUGGGUCUAAUACCGGAUAGGAGCCAUUUUUAGUGUGAUGGUUGGAAAGUUUUUUCGGUGUAGGAUGAGCUCGCGGCCUAUCAGCUUGUUGGUGGGGUAAUGGCCUACCAAGGCGGCGACGGGUAGCCGGCCUGAGAGGGUGGACGGCCACAUUGGGACUGAGAUACGGCCCAGACUCCUACGGGAGGCAGCAGUGGGGAAUAUUGCACAAUGGGCGCAAGCCUGAUGCAGCGACGCCGCGGGGGGGAUGACGGCCUUCGGGUUGUAAACUCCUUUCGCUAGGGACGAAGCUUUUUGUGACGGUACCUAGAUAAGAAGCACCGGCUAACUACGUG
rnacentral:rRNA from 1 species